GCACCGGAUGCCGAAGUGGCACGAGGCGGUGAGUUGCAAACUCUCUCUUAGUCGGUUCGAGUCCGACCCGGUGCUCCA
rnacentral:tRNA from 1 species